GACGAACGCUGGCGGCGUGCUUAACACAUGCAAGUCGAACGGUAAGGCUCCAGCUUGCUGGGGUACACGAGUGGCGAACGGGUGAGUAACACGUGGGUGACCUGCCCUGCACUUCGGGAUAAGCCUGGGAAACUGGGUCUAAUACCGGAUAGGACCGCACCGUGAGGGUGUGGUGGAAAGUUUUUUCGGUGUGGGAUGGGCCCGCGGCCUAUCAGCUUGUUGGUGGGGUAAUGGCCUACCAAGGCGGCGACGGGUAGCCGGCCUGAGAGGGUGGACGGCCACAUUGGGACUGAGACACGGCCCAGACUCCUACGGGAGGCAGCAGUGGGGAAUAUUGCACAAUGGGCGGAAGCCUGAUGCAGCGACGCCGCGUGGGGGAUGACGGCCUUCGGGUUGUAAACUCCUUUCACCAUCGACGAAGGGUUUCUGACGGUAGAUGGAGAAGAAGCACCGGCUAACUACGUGCCAGCAGCCGCGGUAAUACGUAGGGUGCGAGCGUUGUCCGGAAUUACUGGGCGUAAAGAGCUCGUAGGUGGUUUGUCGCGUCGUCUGUGAAAUUCCGGGGCUUAACUCCGGGCGUGCAGGCGAUACGGGCAUAACUUGAGUACUGUAGGGGAGACUGGAAUUCCUGGUGUAGCGGUGAAAUGCGCAGAUAUCAGGAGGAACACCGGUGGCGAAGGCGGGUCUCUGGGCAGUAACUGACGCUGAGGAGCGAAAGCAUGGGGAGCGAACAGGAUUAGAUACCCUGGUAGUCCAUGCCGUAAACGGUGGGCGCUAGGUGUGGGUUUCCUUCCACGGGAUCCGUGCCGUAGCUAACGCAUUAAGCGCCCCGCCUGGGGAGUACGGCCGCAAGGCUAAAACUCAAAGGAAUUGACGGGGGCCCGCACAAGCGGCGGAGCAUGUGGAUUAAUUCGAUGCAACGCGAAGAACCUUACCUGGGCUUGACAUAUACAGGAUCGCGCCAGAGAUGGUGUUUCCCUUGUGGCUUGUAUACAGGUGGUGCAUGGUUGUCGUCAGCUCGUGUCGUGAGAUGUUGGGUUAAGUCCCGCAACGAGCGCAACCCUUGUCUUAUGUUGCCAGCACGUUGUGGUGGGGACUCAUAAGAAACUGCCGGGGUUAACUCGGAGGAAGGUGGGGAUGACGUCAAAUCAUCAUGCCCCUUAUGUCCAGGGCUUCACACAUGCUACAAUGGUCGGUACAGUGGGUUGCCAGUCCGUGAGGGCGAGCUAAUCCCGCAAAGCCGGUCUCAGUUCGGAUCGGGGUCUGCAACUCGACCCCGUGAAGUCGGAGUCGCUAGUAAUCGCAGAUCAGCAACGCUGCGGUGAAUACGUUCCCGGGCCU
rnacentral:rRNA from 1 species